GACGACCGCUGGCGGCGUGCCUAAUACAUGCAAGUAGGACGCAGUUGCGAACGGGCGAGUAACUCGUCGUUAACUACCUAUUAGAGGGGGAUAACUAUUGGAAACGAUAGCUAAUACCGCAUACUAGAAGAUGGACCUGCGUUGUAUUAGCUAGUAGGUAGGGUAAUGGCCUACCUAGGCAACGAUAAGUAGCCGACCUGGGAUGGUGAUCGGCCACACUGGUACUGAGACACGGCCCAGACUCCUACGGGAGGCAGCAGUGGGGAAGCUUCGGCAAUGGGGGAAAGCCGGACCGAGCAACGCCGCGUGAGUGAGGAAGGUUGUCGGAUCGUAAAGCUCUGUUGUUAAGGAAGCGGUACUUAACCAGAAAGGGACGGCUAACUACGUGCCAGCAGCCGCGGUAAUUC
rnacentral:rRNA from 1 species